rnacentral:rRNA from 1 species
GUAGGUGGCAAGCGUUGUCCGGAAUUAUUGGGCGUAAAGCGCGCGCAGGCGGUUCUUUAAGUCUGAUGUGAAAGCCCACGGCUCAACCGUGGAGGGUCAUUGGAAACUGGAGAACUUGAGUACAGAAGAGGAAAGCGGAAUUCCACGUGUAGCGGUGAAAUGCGUAGAGGUGUGGAGGAACACCAGUGGCGAAGGCGGCUUUCUGGUCUGUAACUGACGCUGAGGCGCGAAAGCGUGGGGAGCAAACAGGGAUUAGAUACCCUGGUAGUCCACGCCGUAAACGAUGAGUGCUAAGUGUUAGGGGGUUUCCGCCCCCUUAGUGCUGCAGCUAACGCAUUAAGCACUCCGCCUGGGGAGUACGGCCGCAAGGCUG